GGGGGCGUUUAUGGAUUCGACGGGGGUAGUUCGAGCAUGAGUAGCGGGUAGUGGGGACGCGUCCGCUUCAUCAACGCUAAAGCCAUAAUAACUGGCAAACAACAAAACAACUACGCUUUAGCUGCCUAAUAAUCAGCUAGCGUGCUCCAGCCCUGCAUCGCCCAUGUGCCGGGAUUUGGGGCUCAACCUUAGUGGGAUACGCCGCUUAAUCUCCGCCUGGGGUUAACGGAAGAAGACAAUCAGGCUGACCUGUCCAGCAGCCGGUUACGGGGCGUCUAGACAGGUGACAUCAAAACCGUGACUACACCCGUAGAAGCUUAUGUGGCGUUAUCUUCGGACAGGGGUUCAAAUCCCCUCGCCUCCACCA
rnacentral:tmRNA from 1 species